CCUGCCCAGUGACUUCGUUUAACGGCCGCGGUAUCCUAACCGUGCAAAGGUAGCGUAAUCAUUUGUUCUAUAAAUAAGGACUAGUAUGAAUGGCACCAUGAGAAUUGACUUGUCUCUCAUAACAAAUCUAUGAAACUGAUCUCCCAGUUCAAAAGCUGGAAUAAACAUACAAGACGAGAAGACCCUGUGGAGCUUUAGCCAACCGUCACACCCACUGACGACUCGUGCUUUAGUUGGGGCGACUUUGGAGACAAACAAAACCUCCAAACAUACUCACCCGAGGCCGACACGCCAAAAAUAAUCCAAUUGACCCAAUAAACUUGAUUAAUGAACCAAGUUACCCCAGGGAUAACAGCGCAAUCUUCUUUUAGAGUCCCUAUCGACAAGAAGGUUUACGACCUCGAUGUUGGAUCAGGAUAUCCAAAUAGUGCAGCCGCUAUUAAGGGUUCGUUUGUUCAACGAUUAAAAUCC
rnacentral:rRNA from 1 species